AUAACCAUAGAGGGGGAUAGUCCCGUAUGCGAAAACCAAACCUUCGCUAGCAGUAUCCUGAGUACGGCGGGACACGAGGAAUCCUGUCGGAAUCCGGGUCGACCACGAUCCAACCCUAAAUACUAAUACCAGAUCGAUAGUGCACAAGUACCGUGAGGGAAAGGUGAAAAGAACUGAGGUGAUCAGAGUGAAAUAGAACCUGAAACCAUUUGCGUACAAUCAUUCAGAGCCCUAUGUAGCAAUAC
rnacentral:rRNA from 1 species